ACGCUCGACACCUACGGGGAGGCAGCAGUGGGGAAUAUUGCACAAUGGGGGAAACCCUGAUGCAGCGACGCCGCGUGAAGGAAGAAGUAUCUCGGUAUGUAAACUUCUAUCAGCAGGGAAGAAAAUGACGGUAUCUGACUAAGAAGCCCCGGCUAACUACGUGCAAGCAGCCGCGGUAAUCUGAGCGGGCUGGCAAGGC
rnacentral:rRNA from 1 species